rnacentral:lncRNA from 1 species
CUCAUCUAAGCAAUGGAUUAGUUAUCUUGGGUCUACACAAAGGUUUACUAUUUUCUGCCAAGGAAAUAUGAGCUGUCAAGAAAGAGAAUCUGCUGCACAAAAAAGCAAUGAUGACAAGCUGCUUCUUGGAAAAUGUGGAAAGUCUUUAAGAACAUGGGAGAAAAGAACAGAAGCACUAGACAACAUCUGAUGUAUCCCAGUAUGAAAGACAUGCUAUCAAAUUAUCAGUAUCUGCAACAGAAUCCAGUGACACUGAAAAGAAAGACAAAAAAAAAGAUGACAAGCCUUGUCAGGGCUUCUCUAGUGACAAGGGCUUUCUUUUCCUGAUGAGAUGAAGACAUAAAAAAU